UUAACUUUCCCAGAUUUUUCCUAUUACUCGAUUUCUAAAGAAAUCCCGAACUCCCCCUCACCCAAUAUUCUCCCUUCUUCUACGAUUUUCUCCGAUCUUUCCGUCUUCGUUCGUCCAAUCUUUCCGUCUUCUUCCCCGAUUUUCUCACGCUCCGAUCUUCGUUCGUCCGCCGCUCGCUCGUUCCGUCUCACGCUCCACGCCUUAUGAUGUACCGAUAUAUAAUUUCCCCGAAAUCGUCGCCCAACCAAUGGAAUGUGAAACAGAAGACUCUCUUCCCUCCCUAGAUUCCCCCCCCCCGACGAAAACUUCUCUCUCUUUCUCUCAUACAUUUUUCCAUCUCCGGAGCUGUUUCCUGCCGCCGUUACCUUCUGACUGGCUGUCCUCAGUUGCAUGGAUGCUAAAUGGUAUAUGGUUGAUGGAACACAGGUGCAAGAUUCAUUUCCAUUCUCAAUUGGCUUCUCAUCAGAUGCAGGCCUAAUUUGCUUAGGAAUAAAUAACGUACUAAUUCCCAAAGGCCAGCACAUUCCAAGUACUAAAAUUCUAUCAUUCCAGCGCAAUAGUUUAUUCCACUUGGAAGCAGUCUAUAGUAACCCGGAUGAACUACCUCCUGGCAUGUCUUCAAAAAUUGGUUGCUUUACAGUUGGAUUGGAAUUGAUUGUUAAAUGUUAAGUCAUUUGAGAUGUAGAUUUUUCCUUUCCAAGGCUCAAACAACUCGAAUUCAAGGGUUAAAGUCAGAGUUCAAUUAAAUAUGAAUGGCAUCACUACUGUUGAAUCAGCUACAAUUAUAGAGGAUACUAUAGAUCAACAAAUUCCUAGGAGAGAUGCUACUCACUCGAACACAGAGAAGAUGGAGACCGAGUUUGUUGAUUCUUCCCAUUCAGAGUCUAAUGUUUCAAGAAAAGCUAGGGGCACAAGGAGGAUUGACAUACCAGUUAUAUGAUACAAUGUUGUUAUUUCAAUUGCUACCACGCACCAACUUUUAGAUCAAAUGAGACAGAGAAGUUGGUGGAUCCUAUAAUUAACCGAUACGAAAGAAGCUAGAGCACAAACUAAAGCACGUCAGUUAAAGCGUAUUUCUGACUAUAGAGACUUUGGGGAUUCAAUUUCACGUCAAGUUCGAGCAUUGGUCGUUCAAACUUAUCGAAGAAGAAAAUACCAAUCUGGAAGGUCGUGAAGGUCUACCUCAUUGAUUUACGAAAAAUAGACGCAAACUACAAGUAUAUCAAAACAGACUAAUGCUUAAACUACAAUCAAACUAAACUAAAGAAAACAAAAGCAUUUACUAUUCAAAGCAUUCGAAUUAGCUAAAAGAUCAAAUAAGGCACGAGUGAAAAAAAAUUAAUUACCAACAUUGAUCUCAAUCGAAAACCAACAUGCAUCACAUUCUGAAGAUAUUGUGCUUCACAUAACACUCCAAAUAGCUAUCCCAGAAAAGAAACAUAAUAUUAUAAAGCCUUCAAAACAAGCUCUUUUGGCAACUGUUUGAAGGCACAUAUAUUAGGAAACUUUCUUAACUACCAGUUCCAUUUCAAAUUAUAGAAAGGUGGUAGUCUCAUAUAAAUAUCCCACUUCCUUUUAAAUCACCCAUUAAAAAGUUUAAUCAUUAAAAAGUUUGUUUAUGGUUGAACAAGAAAAACCAUGAGGGUUAAAUUAAAACAACCGAAUAUAAUUAAAAAGGCAACCUACAAAUUCAUUCACAUAAAUGUGGCCAAAAUAAGAAAGAGGAUUUGGGUCAUACCACUCCUACAAAUAUUGAGAAGGCAUAAAUGUAACCAAUUCUACGUGGAUCUCCACGUCGCAUGCACUGCACAUAUGCAAAUUUAAAAAAAAAAAAAAUUUAGAAAAGAUACUGACCAUCUCCACUAGGUGGACACCCCCUUAGCACCUUCAUCAUUCACACUUCAUUAAUAUAUGAGACGAAAACAAGAGAAGUAAGGAAGAGGACCAACAACAACAACAGUUGGAGGGCUAGAGGUAAGACCAAGCAAUACAAGAAACUAAAAAGCAUUAAGAUUGAGAGCAAUAGAAGUAGCACUAUAAUUUGAAAAUAGCGAUGAUCUACUGGCCUAAAAACCCGAAAGAGCGUAAAUAUCCACCCAAAGAUUGAUUGUAGAGCUGUCCUUUUCAUUGAAAAUACAAUUGUUUCUCUCCAACCAAAUAUCCCAUAGCACAGUCGAGAUGGUAUUGAAUUUGAUGAUACCCUUUUUGUUUUUUUGAUUCAUAUCGCACAUUCAGAGCACAUAGUGGAGACACUGUGGUGCUGCACUUUGCAUAAUAGGAGACUUUCAACCUUUGCCCAAAACACUUGUGGAAUACGACAGCUAAUGAAAAUAUGGUCAAGGUCGUCGGAGCUGUUUUGGCAUAGGAUACACUAGUUUGGAUUCUGAUGAAGACUUGAGAUUUUUCUUUGAAGAACCUCAACAGUGUUUAAGCAUUUGUGAAUAAGAGAUCAAAUGAAAAAUCUACAUUUUUGGGACCUUUUGAUUUUCAGAGCUGGUUGAAAAUGCCAUUGCUAUAAUUUGAAAGAGGGUCUUGAUCAAUGUUGAUAAUAUAUCUUUUAAUAGAAGCAAUAGAGAAGCUGCCAUUUGAGUUUAAUUUCCAGAUGGGAGUAUCUUUGCCUCUCUCUUCAUUUGGGCGAGUGAAUGCUUAAUUUCCUCCCAUUGUUGAGGUUCAAUGCUGCCCAAGGGUCUCCUAAGAAGAAAAUCCCAAUCAAAGGAAACAGAGUUCCAAGCAUCUUUUAUUGAGCCAUCCAGAAUAGUGGAGAGAGCAAAUAAUCUUGGAUAUUUCAAAGAUAAAAGGGCCAUCGAUAUUCCAGUUGCCUUUCCAAAAAGUGGGACUUCCCCAUUGUUAACUUGCCAUUUAAUAUGAGAAUUGAACUAAUCAAUAUCUUUUACAAUAUUCCUCCAAGAGUUUCAAAGAACUAUGUUUUGCAAUCGUAAGAAUUUCAUGAAUAGCAGAUUGUGUAUAUUUUGCAAGCAUAACUCUUUUCCAGAGGGGGACUAUUUUUAGAAUCUCCGUAGCCAUUUACAGAGAAAGAAAUUUGUGUCCACCAGUUUAUGAAUACCUAAACCUCCAUUUUCUUUUGGAGUAGUAAUUUUUGACCAUCUCAGGAGAUGCGUGAGCUUGUCCUCGCUACGAUUUUUCCAAAGAAAAUUAAGCCACAAUUUCUCAAUUGAUAUACAAAUGUCAAUGGGGGCUUUGAAAACAGACAACUUAUAUGUAGGAAGGCUGAUUAGAGUUGAGUGAAAAAGAGUUCAACUUCCCUCCCUUGGAAAGAUAAGAGUAUUUCCAACUAUUCAACUUUUUGUGGAUUUUCUCAGUAAUAUUAUCCUAGAAAUGAGCAGAGGAUGAUUUGCCACCCAAUGGAACACCAAGAUAAUUGAUGGACAGGUACUUUUUUUGGAUCCCCCAACUAUUUGCUAUCUCAUCAACUCUAUUAGAAUCCACAUUUAUAGGUGAUAAGGAUGAUUUUGAAAGAUUAAUAUUGAGCCCCGAAGCUUCUUCAAUGAGGAAAAUAGCAUUCUUAAGGUUGGAUAUAUAAUCUUCAUUAUCUUCCACAAAUAUGAGGAUAUCAUCAGCAAAUAAAAUAUGUGUGAGAUUACAUCCAUCAUUGAUGAAAACACCCUUGAUUUUAUCCUGCCUUUGCAAGUGUAAUAAAAUUCUACUAAAAUAAUCCAUGACAAGGACAUAUAAAUGAGGAAAGAGGUCACCUUGACGAAUAGUACUUUUUGAAGGUUUGAUUCUCCCUCUAGGUCUUCCAUUAAUAAGGACAUAGUAGUGCACAUUGCUAAGACAUGACUGCAUCUAAGAUCUCCACUGAUUGGAACAAUUUUUCUUCAAUAGAAAGUAGUCGAUGAAACCCCAUUGAAUUUUGUUAAAAUCCUUUUCAAUAUCAAGCUUUAUAACAUAACCUUUCACGUUUUUCAUUUUCCAAUAAUCAAUGGCAUCAUGUGCAAUGAGAAUAGCAUCCGUGUUUGUCUUUCUUGAUGAAAGCUAUUUGAUAACCAGAGAUGGAAUGAGGGAGAGUUUCUUCUAGUCUGUUUGCCAUAAUUUUUAGCCAUAAGCUUAUAGAGAGCAACAGUGAGGCUAAUAGGCUAAUAGGUAAUUCCCACGUUUGCAACAUUUAUUUUUUUGAGCAAUAUAAGUCUCAUUAACACCACCAAUUGAUAAUCCGUAAAUAGUUAGAGAUAGGAGACCAUUUCAAGUUGUUAAUCAGCCAAGCCACCUAUUUGUUUUCAGAGUAGAUAUUAGAGAAACGAUUAACAGACACUUUCUCAAUGGAAUUGUUUGUGUUACAAAUUUCACCGAAAUUAUUAUGUAUGCUAGAAAUGGAGCUUCUUCUUUUCCUAGCAUUACGUAUUUUAUGAAAAAAGGGCGUAUUCUCAUCACCAUCAACAAGCCAUAAGAUUUUGCAUCUUUGGGCCCAGAUCUGAGCUUCUUUGUGGAAUUGAUUACUAAGAUUAGAUUUGAGAGCAAGCCGACGAGAGCUAUUCACAUCCUUUUAGUUAUUUUCCUUUUCAAGCUUAUCAAUAUCAUCAAUUUCUUUGAUCCAUUUCUUCUUUUCAGCCUCAGAGUUGGAGUUCUUGUUUUAAGCCCAAUUUCGAAUUUGAGUGUUGAGCUGCUUGAAUCUUAGGAACAUAAUUGACAACAUGUUUUUUGGAGUAAUAUUAAAAUAUUAAAAAUGGUUUUUGUCAAUUUCAAAAAUGUUUUUAAUAAUUCAAAAUCAAUUUAAAUGGUAUGAAAGAUGCAUUCAUUCAAAAGUGAAAAUAAACCUACCUAUUGAGAUGUUAAUUACAAAAGAGAAAAAAAAAAAAAAAAACAAAAACAAAAAUGGGAAUUAACCAACCUCUAGAAGUUUAUUCAAAAUGACAGGUCCCACAAAUUGAGAAUCUACAAGUCCCAACUUAUUAGUCAAAUAGGAGUAGUAAUAUAAUAAAAUAUAUUAAUAACGCUAAAUAUAAAGCAAAAAAUUUCUUAAGUAUUUGCCAUUCCCAAUUUUUUUUUUCUAAAUGUUCUAUUUAUUUAUAUGUUGAGGGAUAAGAUUGUGUAUUACCUUCCAAAGAAUGAACGUUAACCAUAAAGACAUAAAGAAUGAGGUACAAAUUAAAACUAGUUGUAUUUUGUAGUAUAUAUAUGCUAAAUAAAACUAUAGAAAACAUUCAAUAAUUCAUUUAAGAUACACACAAUUCACUUCCAGCUGCUAAAAUUUCAAAGAAGUUUCAUUAUGAUAACAUGACCCUAUCAAUUAGCUAGAUUAAAUUUGGAGGAUAAUUUCAUUGCUAAAUUUAUCAUACCCCAAAGAAUGAAUGUUACAAUGGUCUAAUCUAAAUUCACUAUUUUUUCAUAAAUAGCCUAAUGUGCUAAGAUUUUUAAAAAAUGUCGUGCUCAAUUGUCUCAUAAACCCAUAAUAAUUAUGAUGGUUUAAAAAAAUGAAAAAUAUAUUUUUGAGAAAAAUAUAGAAUCACAUCUAAAAUAAAUAUUUUUUUAUCAACAAUUUAUUUUCAAAUGGACGACCAAGCUUGAGGGUUUACAUAUACUGAAUAUAGCACAAUCUAUAUUGAAGAAAAGUUAUAAGAUUGGAAAUUAUGGAAUUAAAAAAAGUUUCAAGAUGGGAAAUUAUGUAAUUAAAAAAAUUUAUAGCGAAUAUAACAGUAUAUAUUGAAAAAAAGUUACAAGGUAAGAAACUAUAUAAUUAAAAAAGUUAUCACGAAUACACUACAUAACAUCUUACUAAAAAGUAGUUAAAUAUACUAUAAAAAGCUAAUUACAUACAAAAAUAUUGAAAAAAAUAAUAUAUACUUAAAAAACUCAUUGCAUAUAAUGAUACAUUACUGUGUAUAUAAUACAGUAUAUAUCGAAACAAAUACAUUAUAAUAAAGAGUUAGAAUUUUGAAAAUUAAUUAGGGUAGAUGUAGUAUAUGAUAAUGAGAUAUAUAUGAAAAUCAGCAUAGUGAAGGCUAUACCUCUAAAUCUUUCCUAAUUAAUAAUUGAGAAUCCAAGUUUAUAAGCAACCUCUACUUUAAUAAUUGAGAAUCGAAGUUUAUAAGCAACCGCUACUUAAAAGCCUAUUAUUCCUUCAAUUCUAUAUGCUACUGCAUUCCUCUUUCAUUCCUAAUGUUCAGAUUCUUGACUAAAAUCCUUGAUUUUGAGGGAGAUUUUGUGUUAAUUAAGUUGUUGAUGUAAUCAAAUUUCACCGUAACUCAUCAUCUAAAAUUUUGGGUCACAAUUUGUAAUUUAACAUAGUAUCAAAACUACAUUUGUUAGUAGUUGGACAAGACCGGUAAAAAAGAACCCGAGGGUUAAAUUGAAGACUUCCCAAGUGCGUCAAGUUGUGUUCAAAGAUAAAGUGGGUUGAAGUCAUGAACUACGACCAAUAUGACCAUUCUAUUGUUGAGUACUCGUGAGCCUAAACUCGAGGUUAUUAUUACAAAACAAACAUAUUCCUAAAAUAAUUGCACGUUUCUUUUAAAUUAAGAGAAGAAGAAAAAGAUGCCAUAAAAAAGACUAGAAAAAGUAUAAGUAAUAUAUAAGAAACUAAAAGCUUCUUCGAACGAAAACUAGAGCUGUUGUUGUUGUUGUUGAGUGGGAGAGGUAAACAAACACAUCGAUUGAAUGAUGUUUCAGUUGGUCCCAUAUAUCCAAUUUCCAUACAUCAUUCUUUGUCAACGGUCUUUUGUAUCCUAUCUUCAUUAUGUGAUUCAUCCAUGCGAAAGUCAUUUUUAGUAAAUUAAUGGGAGCCACAAUUAAAGGAACAAACAUUAAAUUCAUUACUUUUGAUUAGGGAGAUAAGCGGACGCAAACUGCUAAUCACAUGAUCUGCCAUAGGAUAAGUGUUUGGGUUACCAAUUUUAAGUGGGUCGAUAUAUAUCACUCACUCUAUAUUUGGGCUCCAAUUAUAUAUAUUUUUUUUGGUAUUUUCAACUAUUAUAACCUACAAUUAAAUGUAGUUUUACCAAUUCAAAUUUCGGUUACAAUGUUUAUUCUUUCCUACUAGUCCUCUAUUUAUCUCUUUCUUACAUAGUUUUACUAUUUUCUGCCCACACAAUAAAAUAGCCUACACUCGAAACAUGGACUAUAUUAUAACUCACAAGCUACAAUAUUUAUUAGUUAUAACAACCAACUCAAUGCCCCAAAUACCUCCUUAAUCUAUUUUUUUCAUUUAUUAAACUCACCGUGUUUGUAUACAUCGGUUAUUUCAAUACAAUGCAUAUUUGUUCCA